GCGAGCGUGGCGGAAUCGGCAGACGCGCCGGGUUUAGGUCCCGGUCCUUCGGGGUGAGGGUUCGACUCCCUCCGCUCGCA
rnacentral:tRNA from 1 species